rnacentral:rRNA from 1 species
GACGAACGCUGGCGGCGUGCCUAAUACAUGCAAGUCGAGCGAGUCUGCCUUGAAGAUCGGAGUGCUUGCACUCUGUGAAACAAGAUACAGGCUAGCGGCGGACGGGUGAGUAACACGUGGGUAACCUGCCCAAGAGAUCGGGAUAACACCUGGAAACAGAUGCUAAUACCGGAUAACAACAGAUGAUGCCUAUCAACUGUUUAAAAGAUGGUUCUGCUAUCACUCUUGGAUGGACCUGCGGUGCAUUAGCUAGUUGGUAGGUAACGGCCUACCAAGGCGAUGAUGCAUAGCCGAGUUGAGAGACUGAUCGGCCACAUUGGGACUGAGACACGGCCCAAACUCCUACGGGAGGCAGCAGUAGGGAAUCUUCCACAAUGGACGCAAGUCUGAUGGAGCAACGCCGCGUGAGUGAAGAAGGG